rnacentral:rRNA from 1 species
UACGGAGGAUGCGAGCGUUAUCCGGAUUUAUUGGGUUUAAAGGGUGCGCAGGCGGUCUGUUAAGUCAGCGGUCAAAGCCCGGGGCUCAACCCCGGCCCGCCGUUGAAACUGGCAGUCUCGAGCUGGAGAGAAGUAUGCGGAAUGCGCGGUGUAGCGGUGAAAUGCAUAGAUAUCGCGCAGAACUCCGAUUGCGAAGGCAGCAUGCCGGCUCCACACUGACGCUGAGGCACGAAAGCGUGGGUAUCGAACAGG